CCUACGGGAGGCAGCAGUGGGGAAUAUUGCACAAUGGGCGAAAGCCUGAUGCAGCAACGCCGCGUGAGGGACGACGGCCUUCGGGUUGUAAACCUCUUUUAGCAGGGAAGAAGCGCAAGUGACGGUACCUGCAGAAAAAGCACCGGCUAACUACGUGCCAGCAGCCGCGGUAAUACGUAGGGUGCAAGCGUUGUCCGGAAUUAUUGGGCGUAAAGAGCUCGUAGGCGGUUUGUCGCGUCUGCUGUGAAAACGCAAGGCUCAACCUUGCGCCUGCAGUGGGUACGGGCAGACUAGAGUGCGGUAGGGGAGAUUGGAAUUCCUGGUGUAGCGGUGAAAUGCGCAGAUAUCAGGAGGAACACCGAUGGCGAAGGCAGAUCUCUGGGCCGUUACUGACGCUGAGGGGCGAAAGCGUGGGGAGCGAACAGGAUUAGAUACCCUGGUAGUCCGCGCCGUAAACGUUGGGAACUAGAUGUGGGGUCCAUUCCACGGAUUCCGUGUCGCAGCUAACGCAUUAAGUUCCCCGCCUGGGGAGUACGGCCGCAAGGCUAAAACUCAAAGGAAUUGACGG
rnacentral:rRNA from 1 species